GGUAUCCACACCGAAACCUGUAAGUCGUGACUAGAAUCACUUUGUGUCCACAGGGAAGAAAUUCCCAUACUAAGAUUAAGUAUUCCAUGAAGAAGUUUACUGAGAAGUCUCUGGAAGAUAAUCUUUGAGGAAGUGAAGGAGACUGGAUUGGGAAGAGCAAGAAGCUAACCAGUAACGUGAUUGCACAUGAGACAUUACAGAAUCAUACAGUGUUUUGCUCUUGUUGUCCCGACUGGAUUGCAAUGGCCCCAUCUCAACUCACAUCAACCUCUGCCUUCUAGGCAUAUGAUAUUAUGCGGCCAUUCUGCUGUCACUCAGCAAAAGUGUUUUAAUUUAGAAGACAAGAAAAAUUAAAUUAAUAAUCUAGCAAGAUUUUUGAAACUUGUGUCAGAAAUUGAGUGAAAGAGACUCUGCACUUCUUUCAGUACAGAUAAAUUGAAGGACUAUCAGAUGAAAUUUCUCAUCUUAUGCCCAAUAAACUGUUGGAAAAAGCAGCAAAGGAGAAAAGACUUACAGAGUUCCUACAAAAAUUGGCUAUGAGUAACAUAUAAACAAGGAACAACAAACUGUGGAAGGCCACAGGAGGCCUCGGAGGAGGAAGGCCUCUUCAUGCCUCAUGUUCCGGUAUAGGGUGACCUCGGCUCUGUUACCAUAAACAUUUUGCUCAAGGAUGUGAAACCCCUUCGUAGCACUGUGACGUAGCCAGACUUGUAGGCUCCAUGUAAGUUCUGUGUUUCCACCAACUUCACAUAGAUAAUACGCUAAGAUAACCACAUGUUCUUAUUUUGUGAAACACCUUAGCCACCGCUAUUAUAAAUCCUUAGGAUGACACACCAGUUCUGGCUCACUGAUUCAGUUCCUGCUCACUGAUUCACUCCACCAUCAUUCCGCCUCUACCUUGUAGAUCAAAGUAAUUGUAAUCAAUAAAUAGUGUGGAUGAUCAGAGCUCUGGGCCUUCACUGUCUCCUUCAAAGUAAUAAAGUGAUGGUCCCCGGUCCCACUUUUUCUCUUAAUUUGUCUUUUUCUCAUUUCUUUGUCCCACCCACCCAUUGGUGAUGUAAGGCUGGCUCCCUACAUAAACAAUAUGCAAUUCUUAUGUUUUAUUGUCAUUCAUAAGCCAUGGAGUAUGGCUGAUGAAUAACAGGAAGUCGACUAUUUGAAUUACAUUGCAAAGAGAGUCGUAUUUAUAAUAUACACUUGAAAGCAGAGUCAGAAAUGCAUUUAGAGUUUGUUAAGGCAUUUUGCUUACUGUUGCGUAACAUUAUAGAGAUACUGUAUUUCAGCAGCCAUCACUGUAAUUUUCUUCUGAUCCAACAUUUUGCUGCUGAUGAACUUGGACAUUGUCCAAGAAAAGAUCAAGAAUAGACACUCCAAAGCCAGUGCAAUUCUGGAUUUUAUUUCCUCACUGUAUGCUGACAUAAUCAUUGCACUAUAUAGGCAAAUCAGUCCAUGAAUAAUAAAUGCAUAAUUCUGAAAUAAUAAAAUCAUUGGAAUAGUUUUCAUCACCUUCUCUCAUAAACAACAACAACAAAUGUAAUUUAAAAAAAGGCAGAACUAUUCCAGACAUAUGAAUGAAAUUAUUAAGGUUGGGCAUUAGUGCUAGCCUUGUUUUAAAAACAUAAAUUAUGACUUAUUAUAACCUUGUUUAUAGGCAUCACCUCAGGCUUUCAAAUUCCUUUUCAUAUCACAAGCAGAUUUAUCACAAUGGCCACCUGCAUGCUUUCCCCACAGGAAUCAAUUGCCUUUAUCUUGUAGGGGUCAGUAUUUCCAGGUUAUGUAUUAUUUCACAUUCAAUCUGGCUUGUAUAAUUAUUUCAUAUGGAACUGUGCCAAUUAUUAGAAUUACUUUGCAUUUCACAAAUACAUCAUUUUAAUGCAAAUGAUAAAAUGCAUACAAAUGAAACUGGUAGAAAUAUUGUUCAGACACUAUAUAUAUAUAUAUAUAUAUAUAUAUAUAUAUAUAUACUUUUUUUUUUUUUUUGCUACCAACUCCUGGAAAUUAAAAGCUUUGCUAUUAAUGAAGAAUGUGUUUUCAAUGGAGAAUUCACUAGCAGACAGAACUCUUCACCUAUAAGCCAACUGGAAGAAUCAUUUGCAAAUGCAACACAUAAUAAAGUUCUCUUAUUAGAUCCACAAAGUAGUUUUGGACCAUCUUCAGUAAAUUUCUGCUAAUGAUUGAUAGAGACAAAUGAUACAGAAAGUAAAGCUACUGUAUGUACAAGCCCUUUUUGGUAAACUAAUUUAAUAAUAAUGUUUAUGUUCUUCACAUCUGGAGAAAUUAUAAAUAUCAGUAACAAAUUCUUAAGAUGGCUGGGCGCGGUGGCUCAAGCCUGUAAUCCCAGCACUUUGGGAGGCCGAGGUGGGUGGAUCACGAGGUCAACAGAUCUAGACCAUCCUGGUCAACAUGGUGAAACCCCGUCUCUACUAAAGAUACAAAAAAUUAGCUGGGCAUGGUGGCGCGUGCCUGUAAUCCCAGCUAUUCAGGAGGCUGAGGCAGGAGAAUUACCUGAACCCAGAAGGCGGAGGUCGCGGUGAGCCAAGAUUGUGCCAUUGCACUCCAGCCUGGGUAACAAGAGGGAAACUGUCUCAAAAACAAAAAAAUUCUUAAGACGUUUUAGCAUUUUUACAUUUCCUUUAAUGUUGUGUAAUAUUAUUGAAUAUUACUAUAACACAGUCUUUAUUUUAAUUUUCUAAUUUUUACUUUUAUGUUUGUACUAUACUGUAAGAAUUUGUUUUCUAAAAUGUUAGGGCUUAAAUUUCAUCUUUUCGCAGAUUUGUAAGACAAUCAAAAGAUCUUCCAUCAUAUUAUGUGUUCUGAUAUUGUUUAAAAUAUAGAAUUAUCUGUUCUUGGAACUCAGAUGUAAAAUUGGCUGGAAUUUAAAUACUUUUUGAAACUUCUUUAUUAUAUUUCUAUUUUUAGGCAGAUUUUUUUUUCAAUUACAUUUUACUCAAAACUUAAACAAAAUAAUGCUGAAAUUUCACUUUUUUCUAGAACAAAAAAAACUAUUUCAUUGUGUUUUCAAAUUUGAUAGUGUAUCACACUAAAAUUAUUUGCUUAAAAUUUUGCAUUCUUUAUCUCAGAUUAUAUUCAGUCACAUUUAUAAUGUUAUUUAUUAUUCCUUUUGUUAGAUUUUCCAAUAGCCUUUAAAAAGCAUGCCUAUUAAAAUAAAUAGACCCGCUUCUGUAUUUGUUAUUCCUGCCAUUUUUUAAAUCAUGGAACACGAAUUUAUCUCAAUAUUCUUCAAUAUUAGUAUUGCUGUUUGUUUUAUAUCUUAAUAAGCUGAAAUUUUAAUUACUUUUCUCUUUCUUUCUUGACAACAAUAGGAUUUAAUGUGACACAUUUGCUGCCCACAGAGCUUUUACUUUUCCUAAUAUGUUUUCAAGAGUAGGUCUAAAUGUACAUUUACUUUCAAAGCAUCUUUUACUGAAGUUUAAUUACCUCUUUUUUCUAGAGUUAAGAUUUAUUUAACUUAUUUAUAAAUUCCAAAAUAGCUUAAGCUAUUCUAUAAUCUGCUAAUGUGAUUGUAUUAAUUGAAAUGCAAUUUUAAUUUUUCUUUGCAUUAUUUUAACUGAUAAUUAUCUAUUAUAUUAUUUUGCUCUAGAAAAGGCUGAUGUGUGUGUGUGUGUGUGUGUGUGUGUGUGUGUGUGUGUCAUAGACUAUGAUCAAAACUGAGAAAUUUUUAUGGAUGUGGGUGUGUGGUGUGUGUUAAGAGAGAGAAAGACUGAGACAGAAAAAGAGAGAAAGAGAGAGCAUGUUCAGGAAAAGAUUCAGAGGAAAGAAAAAUAAUGUAGCUUAACUGAAUUGUCAGUAAAAUGUAAAAUUAAAAUUCUAAUACUUUUAAAAUUAUACCCAAAAUUUUUAAACUUUUACUAUAUUCCAUAAACUUUUAAUCUUCGUAACAAUUCUAUUACAUAAGAUGUAUUAAUAACUCUGUUUUACAGAUGAGUAAACAGAGGCAUUAAAAUAAAGUAUCAGCCCCUCCAGUAUUAGGUCUUAAUUCUGUUGAGGCUUGUGUCAGUUUAAAUAGCAGAGAUAACAGUCCUUGCAUUCAGAGAGGGACAGAGUCUUGCUGAAUGCUGUAACCACUAGAAUGUGGUGAAGCGAUGUCUUUCUUGGCAUAGCCUUUAUGAAGAUUAGUAAUUCCCACUGCCUAGUUCUCACAGCCUAGAGCUGCCACAUGAGAAGUCUGAACACCCUGAGGAAGCCAAGGUAUUUAUAGUCUAAGGGAAAAAGGGGAAGAAGCCUUGAAACAGAGAGAGGAGGAGGAAUGCAUGGUCAGAUACCAGCUGUUCAAGCUCCCAGACAUUUAAGACUUCCCAUCUGUGACCACAGACAGACAUCAUGGGUGAGCCAUCCUUGUGCAGGCUUUCAGGCUCACACAAUGGUGGCAAAGAAGAAUAAAUAAUAAUUGUGGAAAAUAGUAAUAAAUUGUUGAUUUACAUCAUUUAUUUUGUUAAGUACCAGUAGAUAAGCUGAAUAUGAUCCUUUCUUCUCUCUCUUUCACACUUUGAAAGGCAUAUAGCCUAUGUUUAUUUUUAAUACUAAUUUUUGUUUUUACAAACAUCUAGUAUAACUUAUAUAGUUAUCUUCAUGUUAACUUAUAUGAAUUGUCAUAAAUGUAAAAUGAACAAAUUAGCAUCACAUGUCAGUAAAAUUUUAUACCUCAAUACAUAUAUCUAUAUUAAUAGUUUCCUUAAUUUGCUAAAUUAAAAAAAUUAAUUGACCAAAAUAGUUUUCCAUGUAAUACCUAAUACUCAAAAUGUAUCUUUUAAAUAAUGAUUAUAAUGAGCUUCACAUGCUUUAUUUAUCUUAUUUUUAUCCACAUUAGCUGGAUUAUGCCUAUAAGUGGCUCUGUACUAACUUGAAGGACCAACUGGAUGAAUAUGAUACUCUGAGUUUGUAAUUUUUGUAAGUAAAACUACAUUGUCAUAUGAGUGUUCACUGGCAUUUAAU